AGAACGAACGCUGGCGGCAUGCCUAACACAUGCAAGUCGAACGCUCACCGGGCUUCGGUUCGGUGGGAGUGGCGCACGGGUGAGUAGCGCGUGGGAACCUGCCCUGUUGUGGGGGAUAACCGAGGGAAACUUCGGCUAAUACCGCAUAAGCCGGUUGUCUUGAAGGAGAUGGCCGGGAAAGAUUUAUCGCGACAGGAGGGGCCCGCGUCGGAUUAGCUAGUUGGUGGGGUAACGGCCCACCAAGGCGGUGAUCCGUAGCUGGUCUGAGAGGAUGAUCAGCCACACUGGGACUGAGACACGGCCCAGACUCCUACGGGAGGCAGCAGUGGGGAAUAUUGGACAAUGGGCGCAAGCCUGAUCCAGCAAUGCCGCGUGAGUGAUGAAGGCCUUAGGGUUGUAAAGCUCUUUCGCCCGCGACGAUGAUGACGGUAGCGGAGAAGAAGCCCCGGCUAACUUCGUGCCAGCAGCCGCGGUAA
rnacentral:rRNA from 1 species